rnacentral:miRNA from 11 species
AUCGCAUCCUUGCCUUUUCCAUCUUGGGGGACAUCAUCACACUUGUGGUCAAGGUCCAACCUCACGUGUCCUGUAUGCGAUAAAAGAGGGAUGCGUGUGGUCAGACCUAGCCCACAAGCCCUGUAUGCUCCUCACACACAGCCGAGCGAGGCCAUAGCAUCCCAUCCGGUC